UGGUGGAUUGUAAUGACCCUAAUUGAGACAUAAGGUCCAUUUAGUAUGGCUAUUGAGAAGCAUUCAUUUCUGGCAAAAAGAAAAGUAGAUGGAACAGUACCUAAUGUGAAACUUGUCUUGACAAAGCAAUAUACAAAUGCAAUGCAUUUGGGAAAAAAAAAAAAAUUCAGAGAGAAAUUAUGGUUUGCAUAUUCAUCCCCUGUGCAUCUCAAGCACUUGUACAAUUCACAAACCUUCUAGAUCUCGCAUAUGCACUUUUAGUACCUAUUAACUACAGAUUCCUUAUCUUCUGCCCACAAAUUUCAAAAAGAAUUUCUGAUAAGAAUUUCACUAGCGAAGAAAAACAGUUGAGACGCUUGCAUGAUUUCAGCAAUGUAGAACUAGUAAAACCUCUAAUAAAAU
rnacentral:lncRNA from 1 species